UCCCUGAUGGUCCAGUAGUUAGGGCUCCACACUUCCACUGCAGGGAACACAGGUUCUAUCCCUAUUUGGGGAA
rnacentral:tRNA from 1 species